AUUGAACGCUGGCGGCAUGCUUUACACAUGCAAGUCGAACGGUAACAGGCCGCAAGGUGCUGACGAGUGGCGCACGGGUGAGUAAUGCAUCGGAACGUGCCCAGUCGUGGGGGAUAACUACUCGAAAGAGUAGCUAAUACCGCAUACGAUCUAUGGAUGAAAGCGGGGGACCGUAAGGCCUCGCGCGAUUGGGCCGGCCGAUGUCAGAUUAGGUAGUUGGUGGGGUAAAGGCGCACCAAGCCAACGAUCUGUAGCUGGUCUGAGAUGACGACCAGCCACACUGGGACUGAGACACGGCCCAGACUCCUACGGGAGGCAGCAGUGGGGAAUUUUGGACAAUGGGCGCAAGCCUGAUCCAGCAAUGCCGCGUGCAGGAAGAAGGCCUUCGGGUUGUAAACUGCUUUUGUACGGAACGAAACGGCUCUGGUUAAUACCCGGGGCUAAUGACGGUACCGUAAGAAUAAGCACCGGCUAACUACGUG
rnacentral:rRNA from 1 species